AUACUUAGCUAGCAGAGGAGAUGCCAUGAUCAUGAAGGUGUAUUUCCCAGAGCAAGGCUUAUCCAUUGCACUCGGGAUGUGCUGACCCCUGCGAUUUCCCCAAAUGUGGAAACUUGGCUGCAUAAUUUGUGGUAGUGGGGGACUGUGUUCACUGGUCUGCU